UCGACGGGCUCAUAUUGAACCUAGUGAUGUAUGAGUUAGUGGCGGACGGGUGAGUAACGCGUGGAGAACCUGCCGUAUACUGGGGGAUAACACUUAGAAAUAGGUGCUAAUACCGCAUAAGCGCACAGCUUCGCAUGAAGCAGUGUGAAAAACUCCGGUGGUAUACGAUGGAUCCGCGUCUGAUUAGCUGGUUGGCGGGGUAACAGCCCACCAAGGCGACGAUCAGUAGCCGGCCUGAGAGGGUGAACGGCCACAUUGGGACUGAGACACGGCCCAAACUCCUACGGGAGGCAGCAGUGGGGAAUAUUGCACAAUGGGGGAAACCCUGAUGCAGCGACGCCGCGUGAGUGAAGAAGUAUUUCGGUAUGUAAAGCUCUAUCAGCAGGGAAGAAAAUGACGGUACCUGACUAAGAAGCCCCGGCUAACUGCGUGCCAGCAGCCGUGGUAAUACGUAGGGGGCAAGCGUUAUCCGGAUUUACUGGGUGUAAAGGGAGCGUAGACGGCAGCGCAAGUCUGAAGUGAAAUCCCAUGGCUUAACCAUGGAACUGCUUUGGAAACUGUGCAGCUGGAGUGCAGGAGAGGUAAGCGGAAUUCCUAGUGUAGCGGUGAAAUGCGUAGAUAUUAGGAGGAACACCAGUGGCGAAGGCGGCUUACUGGACUGUAACUGACGUUGAGGCUCGAAAGCGUGGGGAGCAAACAGGAUUAGAUACCCUGGUAGUCCACGCCGUANACGAUGAUUACUAGGNGUUGGGGGACCAAGGUCCUUCGGUGCCGGCGCAAACGCAUUAAGUAAUCCACCUGGGGAGUACGUUCGCA
rnacentral:rRNA from 1 species